ACGGGAGGCAGCAGUGAGGAAUAUUGGUCAAUGGACGCAAGUCUGAACCAGCCAUGCCGCGUGCAGGAAGACGGCUCUAUGAGUUGUAAACUGCUUUUGUACGAGGGUAAACUCACCUACGUGUAGGUGACUGAAAGUAUCGUACGAAUAAGGAUCGGCUAACUCCGUGCCAGCAGCCGCGGUAAUACGGAGGAUUCAAGCGUUAUCCGGAUUUAUUGGGUUUAAAGGGUGCGUAGGCGGUUUGAUAAGUUAGAGGUGAAAUCCCGGGGCUUAACUCCGGAACUGCCUCUAAUACUGUUAGACUAGAGAGUAGUUGCGGUAGGCGGAAUGUAUGGUGUAGCGGUGAAAUGCUUAGAGAUCAUACAGAACACCGAUUGCGAAGGCAGCUUACCAAACUAUAUCUGACGUUGAGGCACGAAAGCGUGGGGAGCAAACAGGAUUAGAUACCCUGGUA
rnacentral:rRNA from 1 species